rnacentral:rRNA from 1 species
GACGAACGCUGGCGGCGUGCUUAACACAUGCAAGUGGAGCGACGAACCGGGCUUCUGCCCGGGGCCAAGCCGCGAACGGGUGAGUAACACGUGGGUAACCUGCCCCGAUGACCGGGACAACCCGAGGAAACUCGGGCUAAUACCGGACGUGCAACCUUCACAGAAGGGAAGUUUUCAAAGGACGCUUCGGCUUCCGCAUGGGGAGGGGCCCGCGGCCCAUUAGCUUGUUGGUGAGGUAACGGCUUACCAAGGCUUCGAUGGGUAGCUGGUCUGAGAGGACGAUCAGCCACACUGGGACUGAGACACGGCCCAGACUCCUACGGGAGGCAGCAGUGGGGAAUCUUGCGCAAUGCGCGAAAGCGUGACGCAGCAACGCCGCGUGGGGGAAGAAGGCCUUCGGGUUGUAAACCCCUUUCAGGAGGGACGAAGGUCACACGGUGAAUAGCCGGCGUGACUGACGGUACCACCAGAAGAAGCCCCGGCUAACUACGUGCCAGCCGCCGCGGUAAAAC